rnacentral:rRNA from 1 species
UACGUAGGGGGCAAGCGUUGUCCGGAAUGAUUGGGCGUAAAGAGCGUGUAGGCGGCUUGUUAAGUCCGCCGUGAAAGUCCAGGGCUCAACCCUGGAAUGCCGGUGGAAACUGUCAAGCUUGAGUCCGGAAGAGGCGAGUGGAAUUCCUGGUGUAGCGGUGAAAUGCGCAGAUAUCAGGAGGAACACCAAUGGCGAAGGCAGCUCGCUGGGACGAUACUGACGCUGAGACGCGAAAGCGUGGGGAGCAAACAGG